rnacentral:rRNA from 1 species
CCUACGGGGGGCUGCAGUGGGGAAUAUUGGGCAAUGGGGGAAACCCUGACCCAGCAACGCCGCGUGAAGGAAGAAGGCUUUCGGGUUGUAAACUUCUUUUAUGUGGGACGAAGAAGUGACGGUACCACAUGAAUAAGCCACGGCUAACUACGUGCCAGCAGCCGCGGUAAUACGUAGGUGGCGAGCGUUGUCCGGAUUUACUGGGUGUAAAGGGCGCGUAGGCGGGAAUGCAAGUCAGGUGUGAAAUCUAUGGGCUUAACCCAUAAACUGCACUUGAAACUGUAUUUCUUGAGUGAUGGAGAGGCAGGCGGAAUUCCUAGUGUAGCGGUGAAAUGCGUAGAUAUUAGGAGGAACACCAGUGGCGAAGGCGGCCUGCUGGACAUUAACUGACGCUGAGGCGCGAAAGCGUGGGGAGCAAACAGGCUUAGAUACCCCGGUAGUC